CUACUUUCACUACUACUUCCGAAUUCUUCUCAGUAAGGCUCAGUCAGUUCCGGUUUAGCAAUGGCUAUGUUCUACACCAGCUGUCUCCAGGAUCUCCCUAAGAUUAACGUUACCGAUGUGCAUCGCAUUUGCAAAAAAUCCACCACAGCUCCAUCCAGCAAGCUGGAGAAAGGGUUUAAAUUAUACGCAGCCUCUUAUAUACACGAUUACGAAGGGUGUGAAACCAGGCCCCAUCAAUGCCAUGGUCAUCACAAAACCUGUAGCAAAUCGUACUGCACAAGGUGGAGUGAGAAGUGGACUCUCCAGAGGGAUGUUCGGCCUUUUUCCUGAUCCAUGCAUGUUUAGAGUUGAGGAGGCAUAUGCAGAAUACAACCUUGAGGACCAGCCAUUGGUUACCCCAUGAACAUGUCACCUGACAAGCCACUUGUAGAGAGUGCAUUUGGGUUGGUCCAGGAAGGAAGCGUGUUGUCCAACCAGGAGCCUGUUUUAACAUCGUGGUACAUCACACUACAUGAUGCCCCAUCAACUCCACAUUUGCUUCUUGAAGGACAUUACCUUGCUCCAUCUGACUGCACGUUUGUUUGCACUGAGGAGGAGCUCUUACAUCUUCAAAGUCUAAACACACAGUUAGAUCUGGCUCAGAAAAUUGAAAAGGCAACACGUGAGCAAAGCUCUUGUCCUGACUGGCAUCAGCUUCGCAGAUCAAGAGUAACAGCUUCCAGGUUUCGAGAGAAAUGUCACGUCAGAGGUCUAAGCUCUGCAAAGUCCCUCGCAGGGAAUCAUCAGAAGAACCCGACAGACGGCCAAGAUGAGAAGAGGUGCUGAAAUAGAGUCUGAGGUAACAGUGGAAUACAGCAAAUUGGAAAAUGUUAACUACUCACCCUGUGAUUUAACCGCCAUCCCGAUGCUCCUUGGCUUGGUGCAUCCCUGAUGGUGUAAUUUUUGAUCCCACUUUGUGUCCUCAAUUUGGACUUGUUGAAAUUACCGGUAAAUGCCCCAAUGUCAAAAACAUUUUUGACUGCAAAUAUUUGCUAAUGGACAAUGGGUUUCUCACCCUAAAAAAGAGCCAUGCAUACUAUUACCAAAUGCAGGGACAGCUACUUGUCUCAGGAAUGCAGUGGUGUGAUUUCAUGGUGUGGGCCCAGGAUGAUUAUUUUGUCCAACGUAUGUGACACUUCAGUGCACAAAGUUAUAAGAGAGAAGGUGGAUUAUUUUUACUUUUACACAUACAUUCCUAAAUAUUUGUCAAUGAAAAAGUAACUGAUAUUUUAAAGUCGUCAGAGAAAUUACAUAACUCUGUAAAAUAGCACUCAGACAUAUUUUAAUACAUGUGUUUAUUAUUUGUACAAUAUCGGUUUCUUAUGUUCAAAUUCAUUUUCUUAUUUGUACAAUGUCAGUUUUAUUCAGAAAAUUUCAUUAAUCUUGCUUGCCAUAUUUUU